GUGCAGAAUACUCGAGCGGCGGACGGCAGAGUAACGCGUAGGAAUGUACCCCAAAGUGAGGGAUAAGCACCGGAAACGGUGUCUAAUACCGCAUAAUAUCUUCGGAUUAAAGCAGUAAUGCGCUUUGGGAACAGCCUGCGUCUGAUUAGCUUGUUGGUGAGGUAAUGGCUCACCAAGGCUACGAUCGGUAGCUGGUCUGAGAGGAUGAUCAGCCUGACUGGAACUGAGACACGGUCCAGACUCCUACGGGAGGCAGCAGUAGGGAAUUUUCCACAAUGGGCGCAAGCCUGAUGGAGCAACGCCGCGUGCAGGAUGAAGGCUUUAGGGUCGUAAACUGCUUUUAUGUGCGAAGAAUUUGACGGUAACACAUGAAUAAGGAUCGGCUAACUACGUGCCAGCAGCCGCGGUCAUACGUAGGAUCCAAGCGUUAUCCGGAAUUACUGGGCGUAAAGAGUUGCGUAGGUGGCAUUGUAAGCAAGACAUGAAAUCGUGUGGCUCAACCAUACGGCUAUGUCUUGAACUGCAAAGCUUUGAGAGCGAGAGGGGUAGAUGGAAUUACUAGUGUAGGAGUGAAAUCCGCAGAUAUUAGUAGGAACACCGAUAGCGUAGGCAGUCUACUGGCUCGUUUCUGACACUGAGGCACGAAAGCGUGGGGAGCAAAUGGGAUUAGAUACCCCAGUAGUCCACGCCGUAAACUAUGGAUGCUAGCUGUGAACCGUAUCGACCCGGUUCGUAGCGAAGCUAACGCGUUAAGCAUCCCGCCUGUGGAGUACGGCCGCAAGGCUAAAGCAUAAAGGAAUUGACGGGGACCCGCACAAGCGGUGGAGCGUGUUGUUUAAUUCGACGCUAAACGAAGAACCUUACCCAGGCUUGACAUCCCGAGAAGUUUGUCGAAAGACAAAUGUGCUUUAUUGAACUCGGUGACAGGUGUUGCAUGGCCGUCGUCAGCUCG
rnacentral:rRNA from 1 species